rnacentral:tRNA from 2 species
ACUUUUAGAGGAUAGUAGUAAUCCAUUGGUCUUAGGAGCCAAAAACAUUGGUGCAACUCCAAAUAAAAG